GGAGUGCGAGAUCAUGACCUGAGCGGAAGUCAGACGCUCAACCGACUGAGCCACCCAGGCGCCCCAAAUGGAUCAUUAUUUUAAAGAUAACUUUAAAGUAAGGGAAAAGUCUUUUAUAUUUAUCCCCACAUUUGCCAUUUCUAGUGCUCCUCAUUUCUUUGUAUAGAUCCAUAUUUACAGUCGGUUAUCAUAUACCUUGUGCCUGAAGAGCUUCCUUUUUCCGUUUUUCAGCUGGUGUACUGGUGAUGAAUUCUCUCAGCUUUUCUAUGUCUAAAAAUGUCUUUAUUUUGACUUCAUUUUUAAAAGAUUUUUGCUGGGUCUAGGAUUCUACGUUAAUGGUUUUAUCUUUCAGUAGUUUAAGGUAUUCUAUGUGCACUCUGGCACCGCUCCUGUCAUACUUACUUUUGUUUCUCUGUAUUUGUAUCUUGUGUCUCUGGCUCCUUUUAAUAUUUUCCUUUUUUUAAUGUUUUUAUUUAUUUUUGAGGGAGAGAGUAUGAGUAGGUGAGGGACAGAGAGAGAGGGGGACAGAGGAUCUAAAGCAGGCUCUGCUUUAGAGCAGAGGGAUUCUCUGGCUAAAAGCAACAAUCCCAUGCUGGGCUCGAACUGACCAACCAUGAGAUCAUGACCUGAGCCGAAGUUGGACACUCAACUGACUGAGCCACCCAGGUGCCCCUGCUUGUAUUAUUUCCUUUUUGUUACUGGUCCUCAACAAUUGCAUUUUGAUUUGAAUUGCUGUGUUUUAUUUCAUUUUUCUCUUGCUUGGGAUUUUUUUAGUUUCUUGGAUCUGUGAGUUUAUACUUCUCAUCAUAUAUAGAAAAAUUUGGGUUAUGAUUUCUUCAUAUAUGCAUUCCAUUCAUCAAUCUUCCUCCUCCCCUUUGAGAUUCUAAGGACACAUACGUUAGGCUGCAUGGUGUCCUGCAGUUCAGUGAUGCUUUGUUCUUUUUUACCCCAGUCUUCUAUCUUUCUGUGUUUCAUUUUGAAUAAUUUCUAUUGUUGUGUCUCCAAGUUUACUAAUCUUUUUUUUUUAAGUAAUCUCCAACACCCAACGUGGGGCUCAAACUCACGACCCUGAGAUCAAGAGUGGCAUACUAUACUGACUGAGCCAGCUGAGCACCCUAAACUUACUAACAUUUUAUUCAGCAGUGUCCAAUCUGCUGUUAAUCUCAUUCAGAGUAUCGUUCAUUUUAAGCAUUGCUUCUUUUUUCAUCUCCAGAAGUUUGAUUUGGGUCCUUUUAAGAUCUUACAUACCUCUUAUCAUGCUCACACUUUCCUCUAACUUUUUGAAGAUAUGGAGUUGUAUUAUAAUAGCUGUUUUAAUGUUCCUAAUUAAUUUAACUAAUUCUGUCACCUGUGUCAUUUCUGGGGCUGUUUCUAUUAAUUUUUUUUUCAUUAUAGGCUGUAUUUGCCUGCUUGCUGGAAUGCCUUCUAAUUUUUUAUUGCAUGCCAUUGUGCUGUGGUUUUCUUGUAUAAACAUUUUUGGGCUUUGUUCUGGGAUACAUUUAUGUUACUCGGAAACAGUUUGAGCCUUUCAAGUCUCACGUUUAAGCUUUGUUGGGCAGGUCCAGAAGAGCCCGUCUUUUACGGCUUAUUGGCCCAACUGCUAAGGUGAUAACCUUCUGAAGACUCUACUCGAUGCCUUACAUAUGAGGUCUUUCCACUCUAUCUGGUUGGAACACAAAUUAUUCCUGACCCUGUGUGACUCCCAAGUUUUGUUGUGCUUCUUCUUUUCCAGUGAUUUCUUUCCUCUGGCCCUGGUAGUUUUCUCACGUGCCUGUACCAAUCAGUACUCAGCUGAAGACUCAAGAGCUUCAAGUAUUAAACAGACUCUAGCACUGGCAGCUUUUUGAACACCCACCCUUCACUGCAAUUUUACCUGUGCCUCCUGAAAUACAGUCAACACAAUGCUGUGCUUUGGCUACUUGUGUUUUUUAAGAAUAAACCAAAAUCAGCAUUUUUAAUCAACCACAUUGGACCAGAUUGGGAGAGAAAGACUAAUGUGUUCCAAUUGCCUCGUUCCUCUUUAUGACCAAGCAGGAAGUUUCAGAGCAAACCUCCACCUCUCAGGAAGUUUACGUCAAAAUGAGUAUUGACAUCCUGUUUAAUACAGUCUUAAAUUUUUUCCUCACUUCCAGACACUCACCAUUUGAAUUAAAAUGUUUGAGUAAUCUGUCCUGAAAUUAUGUUUCCUUUGACUCUCAGAAGACUAUGUCUAAGUGACAAAUGGAAUAUCUCUAUGACUAAUAAUGAUAAAAGUUAAAGGUUUUUUUUUAGUAGUCAUGGAAAACUGUCCCUUGAGCUUCAAACUACUGUUGAAUAAACAAUAACAAUAAACACCACACAUCUGUAGAAAAGUGGAUGUACUAAAUAAAACUAUACCCUCCACAAAGGCUCGAGGGCACCAAUACAAAACCAGUAUCUGAGGAGUUGAACCUGCCACACAAACCAGCCCAGACCAAGACCAUCUCCAGAUGAGGCUGUCCCCUGCUGUACCUCAUUGAAGUGAUUGAUAGUUGAAGAAUCGUAAGGAAGAAGAGAGGGGUCAAAAGACCAUAAAGACAGAGCAACAUGAUUUUCAGCGAGGGAAGAAAGGUAGAUUCUGCAUACUGUAUUCUGACAAAUUUAACAUUAGUACCAGGAAAAAGUUGAGAAUGGGUUUCCAUAAAUGAUUUGAGUGCACUUACAGGAUAGGACAGGGAUCAUUUGGAGCCAGCAUGCGUUUCUGAAAGCAGGGUAAACCACACUAACUUUAUUUCUUUUUCAGAUAAUAUUGGUAGAUUAGUGGUAAAGGAGAAUGCUAUAUGAAGAGUAUAGAACAUUGAACUCUUUGUGGACAUGAUGAAAAACUAUGGAUCAGAUUAUAAUGCAGUUAGAUCUUGCCUGAAGACUUUGGCUCCAAAAAGCAGAUAAAUGUUUUCUUGGACAAGUCCUUCAUUUAUGCUGUAGGGAUCGGUCAUGGUCUCUAUUGCACUUCACAUUUAAUUAAUGGUUUGAUAGAAACCCACAUGUAUUUGGUUUGAAUAGAUCAUAUGUAGUUAAGAGUUACUAAUUUGUUCAUUGACACUAAAAAGUUAUUUGAUAAACCAUUGUAAAUGCCAGCAUUUCAGUUAAAAAUUGACUCUACAAGUAUAGUUCAGGUAAACAGGUCCUUCAGCAGUAUCUGAAGCAGUAUCUAGAAGGACAAGAAUUUUAGUAAAAUACAACCUUGGGCUUUAUUAAUUAAAAUUCAGUGUGUAGAACCAGAGAGACAUUGGCCCCGUCUAUUCUUGUUUGGUCAGACAACAUCAUAUUUUCAAAACAGCAUUGAGGGGUGUGCCUGGGUGGCUCAGUCGGUUACGCAUCUGACUCUUGAUUUGAGCUCAGGUCAUGAUCUCGCAGUUUGUGCAGUCAAGCUUUGUGUUGGGCUCUGUGCUGACAGUGUGGAGUUUGGGAUUCUCUCUCUCCCUCUCUCUCUGUCCCAUCCCCACUUACACUCUGUCUUUCUCAAAAUAAAUAAAUAAAAAUUGUAAAAAAGCAUUGCUAAGCCAAAAGUAUCAAAGGAGGCCAACCAGGGUAAUAGGAAUUUGAACCUAUGUCUUAUGAAACCGCUGAAGAUAUGGUUUUGUCAAGGGAAGAGGGAUCAAUAUAUUUUCAGAUAUCUGAAGGAGAGUUAUGUGGCAGAUAUUAAACUUGGUAUUUGUGACUUUAGAGAACAAAGCCAGGAUCAAUAUAUAGAAACUACAUGUAAACAAAGCUUAGCUCAAUGAGAACUUUCUAGCCAUUAGAGUUGUAGGCUACUUGGGGAGGGUGUGGUAGAGAGACUAAUGGUAUCCACAUCUUCAACCCUGAAACCCCUGAAUAUGUUGCUGUACAUGCCAAAAGGCCAUCUACUUUGUAGAUGUGAUUAAUUUAAGAAUCUUAAUUUAAGGAGAUUACCUGAUAAGCCUAUUGUAGUAACAGUGGUUUUUAAAAGAUAGAAGAGAAAAAGAGAGAGAGAGAGAGAG